GACGAACGCUGGCGGCGUGCUUAACGCAUGCAAGUCGAACGAAGAGCGACGGAAGCUUGCUUCUAUCAAUCUUAGUGGCGAACGGGUGAGUAACGCGUAAUCAACCUGCCCUUCAGAGGGGGACAACAGUUGGAAACGACUGCUAAUACCGCAUACGAUCUAAUCUCGGCAUCGAGGAUGGAUGAAAGGUGGCCUCUACAUGUAAGCUAUCACUGAAGGAGGGGAUUGCGUCUGAUUAGCUAGUUGGAGGGGUAACGGCCCACCAAGGCGAUGAUCAGUAGCCGGUCUGAGAGGAUGAACGGCCACAUUGGGACUGAGACACGGCCCAGACUCCUACGGGAGGCAGCAGUGGGGAAUCUUCCGCAAUGGACGAAAGUCUGACGGAGCAACGCCGCGUGAGUGAUGACGGCCUUCGGGUUGUAAAGCUCUGUUAAUCGGGACGAAAGGCCUUCUUGCGAAUAGUGAGAAGGAUUGACGGUACCGGAAUAGAAAGCCACGGCUAACUACGUG
rnacentral:rRNA from 1 species